GGGGGGGGGGGGGGGGGGGGCGGGGGGGGGGGGGGCGGGGGGGGGGACGGGGGGCUUGCUCCUCUGACGUUGGCGGCGGGCGGGGGAGUAACACGUGGAUCACCUACCUAUAAGACUGGGAUAACUUCGGGAAACCGGAGCUAAUACCGGAUAAUAUAUUGAACCGCAUGGUGCAAUAGUGAAAGACGGUUUUGGUGUCACUUAUAGAUGGAUCCGCGCCGCAUUAGCUAGUUGGUAAGGUAACGGCUUACCAAGGCGACGAUGCGUAGCCGACCUGAGAGGGUGAUCGGCCACACUGGAACUGAGACACGGUCCAGACUCCUACGGGAGGCAGCAGUAGGGAAUCUUCCGCAAUGGGCGAAAGCCUGACGGAGCAACGCCGCGUGAGUGAUGAAGGUCUUCGGAUCGUAAAACUCUGUUAUUAGGGAAGAACAAAUGUGUAAGUAACUAUGCACGUCUUGACGGUACCUAAUCAGAAAGCCACGGCUAACUACGUG
rnacentral:rRNA from 1 species